rnacentral:rRNA from 1 species
UUGGGAAUCUUGGACAAUGGGGGAAACCCUGAUCCAGCCAUGCCGCGUGAGUGAUGAGGGCCUUCGGGUUGUAAAACUCUUUCGCGCACGACGAUAAUGACGGUAGUGCGAGAAGAAGCUCCGGCUAACUUCGUGCCAGCAGCCGCGGUAAUACGAAGGGGGCUAGCGUUGUUCGGAAUUACUGGGCGUAAAGCGCGCGCAGGCGGCUAUCCAAGUCAGUGGUGAAAGCCCGGAGCUCAACUCCGGAACUGCCAUUGAAACUGUUUAGCUAGAGGACGAGAGAGGUGAGUGGAAUUCCCAGUGUAGAGGUGAAAUUCGUAGAUAUUGGGAAGAACACCGGUGGCGAAGGCGGCUCACUGGCUCGUUUCUGACGCUCAGGCGCGACAGCGUGGGGAUCAAACAGGAUUAGAUACCCUGGUAGUCCACGCCGUAAACGAUGAUUGCUAGCCGUUGGGCAGCUUGCUGUUCAGUGGCGCAGCUAACGCAUUAAGC